rnacentral:lncRNA from 1 species
UUAAAGACAAAUUUACAGAAUGAGAGUAUUGUCAGGAUUGGGAGUUUUCAACCGAGUGAUGAGUUGGGGAUUUAUCUUAUCAUUUUGAAAUCAUGUCAAUCAAAAGCCAAAACAAUCUGAGACUUACCUCCAUUUAGUAGUCCAAACAGAGACCAUUUGCAGUUUCCUCAUUCUCAAUAAAUGAACAGCCCUAAACUGAUUUCACAUGCUACUCACAGAUAAGUCUUCUAUAUACUGCAGAUAAGUGAGAGCCUCUAGAAUGGUUCCACCUGACACUAGCAUAAAAAUUUGAAGGAAGGAAAGUAUUUGCAGUAACGAAGGUAUAUAAGUGACCCUUUAAAUUUGAAGAAAGCAAAAAAAUAAACCAUUGGAGUUUGUCUGCUGCUUUUGAUCAUGGUACACUUUCAGGUCACAAAAUGGAAUAUCAUUCUUCCCUGCAAACAACAAUAAAACACAAGAAACCAAACAAACAAUUCUUAGAAAGAAAAAUAAAACACAACAAAAUUUAGAAAAAGAAAAGUGUGAAAAAAAAAGCAGUUUUCAAGUUUUGGCACUUGAAUAUUUUCCCAAUCUCAACCUAUCCCAUAUCUAGACUCAUCCAGAACUAACAAAAGUAUUUCUCUUCAGAGGCAGAAUCUAAAACUCACCUUGCUGAAAGAUUAUGGGCAAUGCCAGAACUUUACAACACACGAUGGUCAAAAGUAACAAGAUAGAAAUAGGAAGUUGGUGAUUCUUUUUUCUCUUUUUCCUUCUUCACUGCCUUGGUUCUAGAAACUAUUCUGAGAAAGCAUCCAGUAUUGGACCUAAGACUAAAUCGCAUCACCAACUCUGUAACACACUAAAAGUCUGCAGCAUCUCCAGUUUGGACCAUUUGUUAGAUUGAAAUCUGCAAUUUCUUUGGAUGAGAAUUGCAUAGUUAUGGGCUUCUAGAUAUUUUCUCCAACCUGAGUUUUUACUGAGGCAUUUUCACUGUAGAAACCAAUUCCUAAUUUAGAACCUUGGUCCCUAGAUACCAAAACCACAAAAUUCUUGUUAAGAUAGCAAAGUUCAUAUAUUCUUUCUGACUAAAUAUCAUGCCCAACUUAAAAACUAAGUGCUAAAAAGGGUAUACAUAAAAUUUGUAAAUGAAGACCCUAGGGUAAGCCUAUCCUAACUACUAAAAUGGCUUCUUAGGAGUUAAGAGAUGCCAUGUUAAAGCUUGAAUUUUCAAAGUAAUCUCUGCCACCUUUUUUCUUUAUAUGCCCUAGUUGACUGUUGCCUUCUGUCUUUGUCACUCACAAAGGAUAAAACAGCUUGAAUGACCUCCUCUUGUCAUGCUUCCUGGGAAGCAAAGUAAUUGCCUUGCCUGCUCAGUCAGCUCAGUAGAUUUUUGACAUUAUGAGACUUUAACAGCGUGUUCCACAUUUCAGCUCGGUAGUCUCCAACUCUUUGACUGGUUCUCUCUCCAUUUCAAUUAUGCCAUUUAUUCUUUCCAAUUGCAUUCGACAAUCGUAUUUUGAUGUGGUGGAAGUGAAUUGAUAUUCAUUUCGAUUAUAGUGCAGUUACCUUCCUGUUAGAAAAGAGUAGCAUAUAGUUUGAAAUCUCUGGUGUGCUUCACAAGCACAGAAACAUCUUUGUUUGUACAAAUAAACAUUUAUCCCCUCCUAGCUACUUAUUUGAUAUCAAGAAAUGGAGUGUUAGAUGUUCAAGGAUGGGAAUUGGUUCUCAAGGUUGCAUCCAUGUGGUCCUUAAAUUCUGCAAUGGCAGGACCACCGAGCACAGAGUUUUCAGUAACCUGUAAUUAUAUAAAUUCUAAUAUAUAUACAUGAAUCAUGAUAACUUGGAGUACUUCAGUCUACUUUCUGAUUUGCAUGUGUCUAAAUGACAUUACUGUCAUUAACUUAUUAAAGUUAGGGGUUGAAUUAAUAAGGUUUGUAGAGAAGAUGUUUAUUUUUUAGUGCAACUCUUGUAAUUUUUCCGUAAAUGGGGAUUUGAGUAGAGUAAUGCUCUGAAUAUCACCUCUGGAUGUUUGACUCUUUCGAUUUUAACCAAUGACUAAUCAAAUCCAAAUGAUAGAUUAGAGAAAUUAAGGAAAAGAAACGGAGGUAAGAAAUUAGUUUACCUGUCGGGAAUGGAUAGUAAAUGUAGACCUUUUCAAAGCAAAUGUGGUUCCAGGUCAGUGACAGAUGUACUCACUGUUUGUUUGGAGCCAUUAGUGUGGAGGAAGAUGACUGAAAUGUGUGUUCUCUGCUUUUUCUUUUGUCUCAUUAGAUAAUUCUUGAAGUUAUCCCGUGCAAUUUUCUUUCUAAUUGUAGCACUCAUUAUAAUAUCAUUUGGAAUUUGCCCUGGGUAAUUUAAUGCAUUACGACAUGAAUCUCUUUGGUUUAAUUAUUCUCAUAUUGGGUAUGUACUUCUAUUCUUUGCAACACAUUAUUAAUGUUGAGACAAAGUGGUCAUAAUGCCCUGUUUCCUUGGUAAGUAGUAGAUCUUAUUUCGAGUACUAUACCAAUUUAGCAUCUGAAUAUAGAACUUUUUUUGGGGUUUUUCUUUUUUGGUUUUUUUUUGGGGGGGGGGGGGGCUGUGGGGAGAGAAAGAGAGAAGGAAAAAAAGAAGAGAAUCACCAACUUCCUAUUUCUAUCUUGUUACUUUUGACCGUCGUGUGUUGUGGCAUUGCACAUAAUCUUUCACAAAGGUGAGUUUUAGAUUUUGCCUCUGAAGAGAAAUAUUUUUCUUAGUUCUGAAUAAGUCUAGAUAGGGGUUAGGUUGAGAUUAGGAAAAUAUUUAAGCGCCAAAACUUGAAAACUGCUUUUUUUUUCACCCUACAGCCCCAACCCCCCCCCCCCCAACCUUCCCACCAAAAAAGAAUCAUCCCAAAAAAAUUCUAUAUUCAGAUGCUGAACCUGGACAUUUAUCAUAUCAAAAUUUGAAGUACUCAAAAUAAGAUCUACUUACCAAUGAAACAAGGCAUUAUGACCAUCGUUUCAACAUUAAUAAUGUGUCACAAAGCAGAGAAGUUUGUCUCUAUGCCCAAUAUCAGAAUAACUAAACCAGAGCGAUCCAUGUAGGAAUGAACUAAAUUACCCAAGGCACAAAUUCCAAGUGAUGUUAUAAUGAGUGCUACAAUUAGAAAGAAAAUUGCACACAAUAACUUCAAGAAUUAUCUAAUGAGACAAAAGAGAAAGCAGACAACACUCAUUUCAGUCAUCUUCCUCCAUGCUAAUGGCUCCAAAAAAACAGUAAGUACAUCUGUCACUGACCUGGAACCAGACUUGCCUUGGAAAGGUCUACAUUUACUAUAUCCAUUCCCGACAGAAAAACUAAUUUCUUACCUCCGUUCCUUAAUUUUCUCUGAUUUAUCAUUAAGAACUAAUUUGGAUAUGAUUUUAGCCAUUGGUUAAAAUCGAAAGAGUCAAACAUCCACCUUUAUAAACCAGGCUAGAGUCAUAGGCUGACAUUCAGAGCAUUACUCUACUCAAAUCCCUAUUUACGGAAAAUCAACAAGAGUUGCACUAAAAAUUAACAUCUACAAGAGGUUUACAUUGAACGUGCGUGCAAUCAAGAACUGGAUGGUUUCUAGGAAAAAUCUCUAGAAAUUCUUUGUUCCUCCUUAUUCCUGCUUACGAAUUUAAUACAUUUUUAUCCUUUCUGAGAAGUUGGCAACAUUCUAUUGCCAUCCUUUGCAUGAUCUAAACACGAACCAGUAUUCUGAGACACCUUUUGGAGUACCAACAAAUUUCUGCUGCAUCUAAAAAAGCUCUUAUUAGGCACACCCUUCUUAAAUCCUACUCCCCCAGGGGAUCUCGCGCAUGCAGUCUUGCAAGGAUCUUUCUGAUGAAGCUUAUUUGAGGUUUUUCAAAAUACUUCUCAUUUGCAGGGGUAAAGACUUUUAACUCACUAACUAAAUCGCUAAAAUAACAAACUGGAAGUGCAGACAUUCAAAAGUAUCCUGGAAAUCUAAAAUAUUCCAUUUCAAGAAAUCUAAGAUAUUUAAUUUGCAAUAUAAGCUUUUCAAAGUAUACAACUCCCCCAAAUUAACAUGUUAUGCCAUUUUGGCAAUUGUUUAUAUUCCAUUUCAAGAAAGUGGGUAUAUUCUAGUAAUAAAGAAAUAGCUCGAUUUGAAAGUGAAGUUAUUUAAAAGAAUAACUAAUUAAUCAUGUAAGUAGAAGGGACAAAACAAGAGUGGGGCUACAUGAGACCAACCAAGUUCCCUCCAUUCCAAGUAAAUAGGUUAAUAUCCAGAUAAAACUUGAGAAACUAGACUCCAUAACUACUCAUCAGCAUGAGCUACACAUCAUUCUCCCCCAUCACCACAGUACAACCACCCAGAAGCAAAAAGUUCAGCUUUUCACCCCAAAGAGAUGUUUACAGCUGGUUAAGUGCAGUUCCCAGGCAUGCAGUUCUAUUUUCCAUAUAAAUGAUAAAAAGGACACUGCUAAUCUAGUAAAUAAAUGGUGUAGGUAGCGUCCACCUUUACAUAAGAAUGCCCUAGCCACGUAUUAACAUCAAGACAAAAUGAUCAUGUUACAUAUGUAUACUAAUAAUUGUCAGCUCUCACUUGGUGACUAUAGAAUCAUUUGUAUAAUUCUGAGUAAAAAAAAUUCUUUCUUCAGUAAGCUAACAGCAUAUUUACCCUUCUCGCUUUUUCUUAUCCAUGUUUGUCCUUUUGUAGUUUAAAGGUGACUGAGAAGACAAAAGGUCAGAUGCCUGAAGAAUCUAACAUGUGGAGUCUCAAUUGAGAUAAUAGAGGUCUGAGAUGAAGAUCAAAUCUCUCAUUUAUUUCUCCUAGAAACACACUUGCUUCUUUAUGUAGGUUCCCAAAAAAGAAUCCCUAAAGCUUAAUCUCCACUUUCUAAAUUUUUUGACACAAUACAGUAUGAUGCAAGAAACACUUGUGAACUAACGUAUCAAUGGAAAACCUAUUCAACUUCAUUCAAUGGGCGAUAGUGACUCACAUGCUUUAUCACGAUGAUCAUUUCCAAAUAGGGUCCCGCAUUUAAAUUUUUGAGUUUUUCAUUCAACAAGUAACCCUGACUACCAUAUAGCGUUUCUUCAUUUAAAUACAGUGUUUGCGUCAAAAGGAACUGCAGCUAAGUGCUAACUGCAAAUCUUAUCUGUUUCUUAUUCUUGUUUGUUCUAACUGCUGCUCCCUCCAUAAAAUUACUAUCAACGUAUUUAUGAUGUUAACAAGUCAUUUUCCCGUUUUGCUUAUCCAAGCAUAUUCUUCUACAUCGUCCUAGGUCUUGUGAUAAAGUGACAAAGAUUGGAGAUGGAUAUCAUAAGUCAUAAGAUCCAACCUCCUUGUAUUCACUUUAAUUCUCUGUAGCCAAGUUCUAAAAGUGGAUUCAAUAUCUCACUCUAGUAACCUUGAAGAAUGUUCUCCUCAACCAUUUCAGAAGCAAGUACAGUUUAUGAAAUAACAAAGUCAUCCAAAGUCAACAAAGUUCUCAAACCUUGACGACAAUAGUAAACUAGUCUGUCUAUUCUCCUUACAGUAACCUUCAAAAUGUUCUCCUCAACCAUUUCCGGACCAUGUAUUAUUGGUAAAAUAUCUAAAGCAUCUGAGGUUAUCAAAGUUCUUAAACAUUGAAGAUGGUUCAUAAAUGCUUAGUGUUACCUCACUUAGUGUUACAGUUCUUAAACAUUCUAAGUGAGGUAACACUAAUAACCUUUUAGGUUAUCAAAGGAUGCUUGUCUAUCCACAUACUUCUCAAAAAGUAAUCUCAAACGUGCAAACUAAGUUUUCACAAAGAUAGAAUGAUAUUUACCAUCUUGCACGUUCCAAGUUGAUAGAGAUAAAUACGGAGGUAAGUCCCAAAAGUCCCUGAAAAGUAGCAUGUACAAAAUAAUGCAAGGGUACUAGAAAAAUUAUCGAUUGAAUAAAGAAAAUUAAACUAAAUAACAAAGAAAGUUGUAAAACUCCCCAGAGAUGACAUGUAUUGUUCUCCAUGUAAGAUGAAAAGGCCAUUCAGAUAAAACAUGUAAGUUUCAUGUCAAGAGUAACUUUGUCUGAGCUCCGCAUGAAUAAUUCAGAAGUCUUUCAAAUCAAGGAAGUAGUGAUGACAAAUAUUAAAAGCACUUGCCAAAUGGAGAAAAAACAAUAAAAAGAAAGCCAAUGAUUGUUUUUAGGGCAAUGAAAACCUUCAGGCUCGAUCACAAAGCCUUACCGUAUAACAAGAAUGAGUAAAUUUCUCAAGAAAUAAUAAGCAGUGUAGGAAUAUAGUGUUACCUCACUUAGAUUGUAACAUACAAUCAGCAUCCUUUACUGCUCGAACAAGAUGUGUUAUACGAUAUUGGAGCUUGGCAUUUUCUGCAUUUAGCUGCUUUAGCUCUUUCUGAGC